GGGGUUGUGGCUCAGUGGUAGAGUGCUUGCCUAGCAUGCACGAGGCAUUGGGUUUGAUCCCUGUAAUCACA
rfam:Ictidomys tridecemlineatus contig057175, whole genome shotgun sequence.